rnacentral:tRNA from 1 species
GCAUCCAUGGCUGAGUGGUUAAAGCACCCAACUCAUAAUUGGCGACUUCACGGGUUCAAAUCCUGUUGGAUGCA